rnacentral:rRNA from 1 species
GAAGAAAGCUGGCGGCGUGCUUAACACAUGCAAGUCGAACGGAAAGGCCCUGCUUUUGUGGGGUGCUCGAGUGGCGAACGGGUGAGUAACACGUGAGUAACCUGCCCUUGACUUUGGGAUAACUUCAGGAAACUGGGGCUAAUACCGGAUAGGAGCUCCUGCUGCAUGGUGGGGGUUGGAAAGUUUCGGCGGUUGGGGAUGGACUCGCGGCUUAUCAGCUUGUUGGUGGGGUAGUGGCUUACCAAGGCUUUGACGGGUAGCCGGCCUGAGAGGGUGACCGGCCACAUUGGGACUGAGAUACGGCCCAGACCCCUACGGGAGGCAGCAGUGGGGAAUAUUGCACAAUGGGCGGAAGCCUGAUGCAGCAACGCCGCGUGCGGGAUGACGGCCUUCGGGUUGUAAACCGCUUUCGCCUGCGACGAAGCGUGAGUGACGGUAAUGGGUAAAGAAGCACCGGCUAACUACGUG